GGAGUUCACGUGAUGUAGUGUAACCAAUCAGGCGCUGUCAGGGCCUACGUGCUGCGGUGUUUUGGUUUUUCCUUUUUCUCUCUGCCGGACCGACGGGAAGGCGGCUACAUGAUACUUUUUUCCUGCAUGUGUUAAUGUUUUUGACCAAGAGAGCAAGAUAUUCAGACUUCUUUGUUAAUAUUUUUCUUUGCCGUGGAGAGCGAGAUUCACCCUUUUUAUCGAGAAGACGAGAGAGCUGUAGCCUGGAUUGAUGAGAGUCCUGUGAAGCUGUAUUGCCCUGUGAACCUGUGUUUUGCUGGAGAUUGUGUGUGUGUCAUAAUUGAACCUCUGGCCGGGUCUUUUUCUUUUCGUGACAUCGUUCCUGGUUCCAAGACCUGUGUGGAAAUUUCUUCUACUGAGAUUCUUCUUACUGUAAGGUGGAAGGGGACUCAGUUGAGGUGGCGAGCCAUCCAAACAAAACAAAAACAGAACUGUAACUUUGUCAUUAACUUUGUGAUUUUGGGGAUUCAAUUUUUGUGAAAUGUUGUUGACACCUGAAGUGUUUAUUGAUACUCAUCCAUUUUUAUUUCAUUUAAUAUUUUCCUACCUUUAAAAAUAAUUUCUUAUUCAAUACAAAAGAAUAUUACAUAAAAACCUUACCUGGUUGUUUGUGUGAAUCAUUUACUCUUACACUCAAUGCAAAAUUGCUAAUACCCCCUUCUCCUAUAGCGAAACUAGACUUCUGAUCUUCUGGUCCAAAAGAACAUUGUUACACUGAUGAAAACAUAUCUGUACUACUUAGCCUUUACCACUAAUAGUAGGAGCUGAGAUUGCUUACAGAAAGGUUAAGGUCAUUGUCAUCCUUCUGGGACUCCUCUUGCUGCUGCCUCGGUUCUUCAUCAGUGUGCUCUUCAGACAGGUCUCCAAAAAUUGGGGUAAAAUCCUCUGCAAUAAAGUGGACAAAGGCAAGGCACUGGCCGGUGCCCGUUAUUCGAAUUCUUCAACCCCUAUACUUCCCCUUAGUAUUUUUUGGAUUUUUAUUACUUUUUAAAUCAAUUUGCUUAUAGUAAUUUUUGUGGGUCUUUUUUUGUAAGAAAAUUGUUGCAUAAUUGGAUUGGGAUCGUUUUGAAAUUUUAUAAUUAUUUAUUAACAUCCCCGUAAGAUAGGCAUAUCUAAAGGAUUCAGUUAAGGUUCUCGGUUAGGGUUAUAUUAGAGUUAGG